ACCAGUAAGUCUUAGUUGCAAAAAAAAAAAAAAAAACACCAGUAAGUCUUGAUAAAACAAAGAGAAACCCAUGACGAGGGAAGAUAAAGAAGUGUUGAGGUACUCUGCGUGAUAUAACACUAGUAGAAGGAAUGAACGAAAGCCUCACGCUCUUAAAGAUGGUAAUGAGCAACCAGCGUCAGCCUGAAUGAUAUUUGUUAACCAGCUUGGUUCACCACGAGCUACGCAAGAUUGGUAUCACUGACCGCAAUCUCAGGAGCAACUCUAUUAGCGGUAUUUUUCACAACUUCGAGAUGGCAGUGGUGAAACUUCUUCAAGAGUGCAGAUGUAUUAGCUAUCACGUUGGAGGGGUGAGCUACAGAUUGCGGGUUCUGUAAGGCUUCUGGCUUCAGUUGAGGUGAUUUCCAUAAGCACUCUGUUCCAAUGAAGUAACUGGAGAUCUUUUGCAACCCAUCCUAUUGACUCAAGUUCUGAUUCUAACCUUUACUGUACACCCGUGAAGGCCCGACGGCUGUGUUCUAAUGCUUUUCCCCCAAAGUCACGUACAGUCCAUGCAGUUCCACAAUGUGCGUGCUUCUAGACCCAAGAGGAACCUACGUUACAUUUAAUAAAGCCCUUACAAGUUUCUGGAAUUAUUGAAAAGAUGACUGGCAAAGAUAAGAUUUUAGAUAUAUGGCAACCUCUGAUUUGCUCACUGAGUUGAAUAAGGAAUCCUUUAAACUCGAUAUGGACUUGGAGAUGAAAUUGUCGAGCAUCAUACUUAAACAGCUUGAUGAUGUUGCUGGUGAUGCUUCUGGAUUGGCUGUUAAAUGUCUUGCUCCAUUGGUGAAGAAGGUUGGAGAAGAGCAUAUUGCUGCUGAAGGGAAGGUUUUGAUCUCAUAAAGUUUGAGACUUUUUACUGCUAAAAUGUAGCUUUGAAGUGAGUUUAUUGCAGAGCAAGUAUGAUGGCGUGAGAGGAAUAAUCAGCGAUAAGUGGUCAAUGAGGAUUCUUUGGGACUGUGCACUCGGAAGUGCAGUUGGUUUAUACAUGGUUGCUGUAGAAAGACAAACCCAGAACAGAGCACGUGCUUUGGCUUAAGGUUUGAGAGCUGCUGAAUCACAAGCUGGUGAUGCUGAUACUCUCUGAAAUCUACCAAAUUCUCCCUCAUUCAACUUUGGCACGCAGGGUUCUUAAGGAUCUCACCAUGAUGGUGGCAAGUAAGCUAGAGAUGAACCAUGUAGUGAAGCGUGGGAUGGUUAGUUUGAGCCUGAGGACAAGGUCAGGUCUGAUCAUAAAA